rnacentral:ncRNA from 1 species
CAUAAAUCGUCGAUAAGAAGUAGUAAUCAAGAAAACUUUAUGUUUAGCGAGUAUGGAGCGGUGAAAGCCAUACCUAAAGACUUGAUGAAUUCAUCUUUGAGAGGUGCUAAUCACACCCGUUUCGUCCGCGUUAAGGAUUUUGAGUGCCAGAAUUUAUUCUGGAACUAAGGUGGUACCGCGUAUAAACGUCCUUAGC